GUGAAAACCUGAUGAAAACGAGGUGAAAACCUGAUGAAAACGAGGUGAAAACCUGAUGAAAACGAGGAUUGCAGGAGAAAGCCACCUGUCUAAAAACAAGAU